UACGGAGGGUGCAAGCGUUAUCCGGAUUCACUGGGUUUAAAGGGUGCGUAGGUGGGUUGGUAAGUCAGUGGUGAAAUCUCCGAGCUUAACUUGGAAACUGCCAUUGAUACUAUCAGUCUUGAAUACUGUGGAGGUUAGCGGAAUAUGUCAUGUAGCGGUGAAAUGCUUAGAUAUGACAUAGAACACCAAUUGCGAAGGCAGCUGGCUACACAAAUAUUGACACUGAGGCACGAAAGCGUGGGGAUCAAACAGG
rnacentral:rRNA from 1 species